rnacentral:rRNA from 1 species
UACGUAGGGUGCAAGCGUUGUUCGGAUUUACUGGGCGUAAAGGGCGCGUAGGCGGCAGAUCAAGUCAGCUGUGAAAUCUCCGAGCUUAACUCGGAACUGUCAGCUGAUACUGUUUUGCUAGAGUGCGGAAGGGGCAAUCGGAAUUCUUGGUGUAGCGGUGAAAUGCGUAGAUAUCAAGAGGAACACCUGAGGUGAAGACGGGUUGCUGGGCCGACACUGGCGCUGAGUGCGCGAAAGCCAGGGGAGCAAACGGG